GCUGGCGGCAGGCCUAACACAUGCAAGUCGAACGGAGUUAUAUUGUAGCUUGCUAUGGUAUAACUUAGUGGCAGACGGGUGAGUAAUGUAUAGGAAUCUACCUAGUAGUACGGAAUAAUUGUUGGAAACGGCAACUAAUACCGUAUACGCCCUACGGGGGAAAAAUUUAUUGCUAUUAGAUGAGCCUAUAUUAGAUUAGCUAGUUGGUGGAGUAAUAGCCUACCAAGGCAAUGAUCUAUAGCUGAUCUGAGAGGAUGAUCAGCCACACUGGAACUGAGAUACGGUCCAGACUCCUACGGGAGGCAGCAGUGGGGAAUAUUGGACAAUGGGCGAAAGCCUGAUCCAGCCAUGCCGCAUGAGUGAAGAAGGCCUUUGGGUUGUAAAGCUCUUUUAGUGAGGAAGAUAAUGACGGUACUCACAGAAGAAGUCCUGGCUAACUCCGUGCCAGCAGCCGCGGUAAUACGGAGAGGGCUAGCGUUAUUCGGAAUUAUUGGGCGUAAAGGGCGCGUAGGCGGAUUAGUAAGUUAAAAGUGAAAUCCCAAGGCUCAACCUUGGAAUUGCUUUUAAAACUGCUAAUCUAGAGAUUGAAAGAGGAUAGAGGAAUUCCUAGUGUAGAGGUGAAAUUCGUAAAUAUUAGGAGGAACACCAGUGGCGAAGGCGUCUAUCUGGUUCAAAUCUGACGCUGAGGCGCGAAGGCGUGGGGAGCAAACAGGAUUANAUACCCUGGUAGUCCACGCUGUAAACGAUGAAUGUUAAAUAUGGGA
rnacentral:rRNA from 1 species